UUUGCGACUAUCCACUUUAACUAUGGCCACAAGCAUGCUUAGCCCUAGCAACAAAACACAGAUAGUUCCUGUCUCUCCUGUCCUUUCAUAUGCCUUUACUUCAUACCUUUUCUUCAUUGGAUAAGGAUAAUUUGGAGUGAAUAUGUAAGAGUAUUUAACACAAACAUGAACCAUAUUACUGAUAAGCUAUGGUUAAUGCAGUACUUGGAAUUACUAAACUAUAAUCUUUUUCAUGCAGAUUAAAAACUUAAACAGAAAAAAAGAUAACUGCCAUAAAUCCGGAUGUACCCUAGAAAAGCUAAUCCCAUAAUACAUCUUAAUUCUCCUGAAAUGUAUUAAUUUACCGUCUUUGCUUUACUGUCUUUAUUCACAUAAACUAAAAUGUAUGUGAAUAUAAACAUCUAAGAAAAUUUUAGUUUAAUCACUACACAAAUUAUAUCAUAUGAAUGAUGAAACUUUGUAUCAUUCGAGUAGAGUUUAUUUCAUGUUUGAUAUGUGCAUAUAUUGAUGUUGCAUUUGGAAAUAUUCCAAUAAACUGUACUGACUAUCUCAACAACAGCAAGAUAAGUGAAUACACAACAUGUUUGAAUGCUGAUGAAGUGAGCUACGAACAGUGUCAGAUACAAAUACUAACUAAAAAAAAUAAAUAGAAACCCUAAAAUUACUUGACUGCAAUGUUUUAAUGAAAAACGUGGUGCAAAAUAAUUGUUAUAUAUAUAUUAAUAUUAAACCUGCUUUGGUAUUCUGAACUUUAAAAAAAAAGAAAAAAUUAGGGUAAAUAUUUUUACCUUUUAUUUUUUUUCAAAACUCAUCCUCAAAGAAAAAUAAAUAUAUGAGUGAGAUGAACUGAGCAGUACUACGUUACUGCCAAAAUUAAAAAUCAUGGGCCAAGAUCCUUAAGAUUCACAUAAUCUAUUAUACGCUUCCAUCCUUUUAACACAAUGGGGUAGAUUUACUAUGGUACUGUCAACAGAGGUGCAGAAUAAUUGUCAUGUUGAAGCUGCCCUUAUGUUACUUGUCGAAGACUGCAAGACAGUGUAUAUUUUGACACGUUUUCACAAUAAGUAUUGACAUUUUUAGUUUUAGCUUAAGGAGAAAAAAUGUUUGUAAUAUUUAGCAUUGGGACCUGUUGAAAUGUAUUGAUUACAUAUUCCUUAGUUCAGUGGGCUAAAUUUUUACCUUUUUACUGGAUUGUUGAUAACUUCUAGAUUAUUAGGGGUUUAACCACUAGGACCCUGAAUGACUGCCAGAAUUGGGUCUCCCAUUUGAAUAGUGUGUCAAUCAAGCAUUCACAAUGCUGUUCCAUUCAAGGGCUGAUGGAUAUAGUAGAGUUUAGCACAUACACAUUGAAUAGAAUGAAAGUGAAGCAUUUAUACUUAAUUCAAAUAGGAAAUAUGGUAGGAGGCUCAGUGAUAGGACUCCACACAUCUUCCAGUUGUCACCAUCCAGUAAAUAUAUGAUAAUUUGUUAUUACUGGAAUACUCCAGACAACAUGAAAAUGACUUGUUAGGAAAAUUAAAAAGAGGUAAAGGCCGUCUUAUAUAUUCUCUCUUUGAAUACAUAAGAUGGUCAUAGAAAAUUGUAAAUAGAUCCUGAAUGCAAUCAGGAGCAGUUAACAGAGUUCACGUUCCAUAGGAGUGUAAUAUUGCAGUUUAGUUCCAUUCACUUCAGUGCAGCUGAGAUGCAAUAUUACAAUAUGAAUUAAACUUUAUCCUAUAAUAGUUCAUGAACUUUCCAUUACUUAGCAAUCUUAAGAAAAGCUUUAUUUCAACUGUUGACCCCUGAGGAAGUCGGCAGUAGUCCAGCAAUAUGCAUAGGGCAGGGAAUGGGGCUGCCCCCAUGUCUUUACAGUUUUGUAUAUCUAAGGGACAGGUUUAUAUUUGUUAAUAUAUGACAGAAUAAUUUUCUAACAAUAUGUAUGUGAUUAUACCUUAUAUAAUACUAUGUAAAGUAUUCAUUUUGUGUAUAAUAUUAUUAUUCUGUCAUUUGACUUAAAGGGGUACUCCGGUGGGAGACAAUAUUUUUUUUAAUCAACUGGUGUCAGAAAGUUAAACAGAUUUGUAAAUUAUUUCUUUAAAAAAAUGUAAUCCCCCCAGUACUUAUCAGCUGCUGUAUACUACACAGAAAGUUGAGUAGUUAUUUUCAGUCUGACCACAGAGCUCUCUGCUGACACCUCUGUCCAUGCCAGGAACUGUCCAAAGCAGUAGAGGUUUGCUUGGGGAUUUACUCCUACUCUGGACAGUUUCUGACACAGACAGUGGUGUCAGCAGAGAGCACUGUGGUCAGAGAGAAAAGAACAAUACAAACUUCCCCUGGAGCAUAUAGCAGAUAAUAAGUAUUGUAAGGAUUAAGAAUUUUUAAUAGAGGAAUUUACAAAUCUGUUUUACUUUCUGGACCCAGUUGAUAUGAAAAAAAAAUGUUUUCCACCGGGGUACCCCUUUGACCCCUUCCCAACCCAGGACGUACCAGUAUGUCCUGGAUCCUUUCCCUAAUAAUAAGCUAAUAAGUGCCAGUUAGCUCAGCGGGCUGUUCGGGACCGCCACAGCAAAAUCCCGGCAUCCCGAACAGCUGGAGGACACGAGGAGCUGCCUUACCUUCCUCCUCUGUGUCCGAUCACCAAAUGACUGCUCAGUGCCUGAGAUCCAGGCAUGAGCAGUCAAGCGGCAGAAACACUGAUCAAUGCUAUGCAAUGGCAUAGCAUUGAACGGUAUGAGAGAUCAAUAUAAUGCAUGGUAUAGUCCACUAUGGGGCUAUAACAAACAAACAGUGUAAAAAUAAACAUAUGUGGUAUUGCUGUGUGCGGAAAUGUCCAAAUGAUAAAUAUAUAUAGUUAAUUAAACCGCACGGUCCAUGGCGUAUACACAGAAAAAUUCUAAAAUCCAAAAUAGUGUAUUUUUGGUCACUUUUUAUAUCAUGAAAAAAUUGAUAAAAAGCAAUCAAAAAGUCAAAUCAAUACAAACAUUGUACUGCUAAAAACUUCAGAUCACGUCGCAAAAAGUUAGCCCUCAUACUGCCCCAUAGGCAGAAAAAUAAAAUGUUAUCGUAUGGACAUACAAAAUAAAGAUAAGGUGUCAUUUUUACCGAAAAAUUUACUGCAUAGAAACUUACAAAUUGGUGUUUUUUGUUCUUCAAUUUUGUCGCACAAUGAUUUUUUUCCCGCUUCGCCGUAGAUUUUUGGGUAAAAUGACUCAUGUCAUUACAAAGUAGAAUUGGUGGCACAAAAACUAAGCCAUCAUAUAGAUUUUUUGUUAUGAUUUUUUAAAGGUAAGGAGGAAAAAACGAAAGUGCAAAAACAGAAAAACCCCGGGUCUUGAAGGGGUUAAUAUAUACUGUAUUGAUUUGUGAUGUAUUGCACUAACAUCUAAUGUGCAGUUAUUAAAAUGUAGUUAUUUUUCCACAGGGGGAUUCAAACAAUAAGGUGCAAAACUAUAGCCUUUGAUCUAACCGAGAGAACAUAACACAAAUCUAUUGAUACACUAUGGGGAAGAUUUAUCAAAACCUGUGCAGAGGAAAAGUUGCUGAGUUGCCCAUAGCAACCAAUCAGAUCGCUUCUUUCAUUUUGCAGAGGCUUUUCAAAAAUGAAAGAAGAAAUGUGAUUGGUUGCUAUGGCCAACUGGUCAGCUUUUUAUCUGCACUGGUUUUGAUAAAUCUCCCCCUAUGUAUAUAUUUUUUUUAUCUAUAAACUACAUAUGUCCAAUAACAUGUAAGUUAUAUAAGUGUUAUUCCAGUUCUGUUCCAGCACACUCUUGGAUAUGGACUCUACUCUUUCAGUCAUUCAGUGUUGUCUGGCUGUUCAGACUGGGGAGGGGAUGGUUUCAUUUAGGUAUAGGCGAACAUCCAGGCCUCAAGUCCUGCAGGAACAUGUGGGAACUGAGUUGCUGCACUUUUUUUUUUAAAGUACAACUACCCUCCCCAUUAGCAGGAGUCUUGCAGGACUAGCCCUUUAGUGGAAGACUUGACCCCUGCGAACAUCCAAUUGGAGAUGUAAAGAAGCACUGUCCUUCUGCAUGUAAAAAGAAGCAGAGGACAGCAGUGGGAUCCAGACACUCGGGAAAACAGCAGUGGAAGGGGAUUGGGCUUGUUGUUCCUCAAGUUAAAAUAUGAAUUGGUUCCAGGACGACCAUUGUAUAUUGAAGCCAAUGUACUGUAUAUUGAGACCAUAACUCUAUGGAAACCAGAAAAACAUAAUAGCAAGAACAUUAAAUUACUGUAUUAACAAAGCCUCAAGAGAGCUUGUUGACUGGACCAAUUGUACUUAGCAAGGAGACCUUUCAAUCUACCAUAAAAUUCAUGGCACAACCAUUAAAAU